rnacentral:misc_RNA from 1 species
GAACGCAUCUUGCACUCUUUGGUAUUCCGAAGAGUAUGUCUGUUUGAGUGUCAUGAAACUCUCAACCCCCUUUGUUUUGUAAUGAAACGAGUGUGGGCUUGGAUUGUGGCGGCUGCCGGCGUAAUUGUCGACUCUGCUGAAAUACACGAGCUACCCAUUUCUGAGAAAUAGACGGUUUGACUCGGCGUAAUAAUAUAUUUCGCUGAGGACGUCACAUUCUCUAACUAGUGGUGCUUCUAAUGCGACAUCAAAAUCUUUAGAUUUAGACCUCAAAUCAGUCAGGACUACCCGCUGAACUUAAG